UACGUAGGGUGCAAGCGUUGUCCGGAUUCAUUGGGCGUAAAGGGUGCGUAGGCGGCGCGGUAAGUCGGGUGUGAAAUCUCGGAGCUUAACUCCGAAACUGCAUUCGAUACUGCCGUGCUUGAGGACUGGAGAGGAGACUGGAAUUUACGGUGUAGCGGUGAAAUGCGUAGAUAUCGUAAGGAAGACCAGUGGCGAAGGCGGGUCUCUGGACAGUUCCUGACGCUGAGGCACGAAGGCCCAGGGGAGCAAACGGG
rnacentral:rRNA from 1 species